CAGGUCCAGCUGCAGCAGUCUGGAGCUGAGCUGGUGAAACCCGGGGCAUCAGUGAAGCUGUCCUGCAAGGCUUCUGGCUACACCUUCACUGAGUAUACUAUACACUGGGUAAAGCAGAGGUCUGGACAGGGUCUUGAGUGGAUUGGGUGGUUUUACCCUGGAAGUGGUAGUAUAAAGUACAAUGAGAAAUUCAAGGACAAGGCCACAUUGACUGCGGACAAAUCCUCCAGCACAGUCUAUAUGGAGCUUAGUAGAUUGACAUCUGAAGACUCUGCGGUCUAUUUCUGUGCAAGACACGAAGA